AUCCGGGUAAAGGUGGUAAAAUGCCCGUCCCAAUCCCUCUCCUCCGAUUCUCCAUCUCAAGAGGCACGAACAAGAGCAAGCUCAGUGCCCAACAGCCCCUCGCCGGACUCUCUCCCACAGAGAGGAACUCGGCCCCAAGCCCCGGAGACCCGCGCAGGCCGCCUCCGGAGGAGCCCCCGCAGACGCCAUACUAAAAGCCAAAAUGGCUGCCCCAAGGAAGCCCGCACCGCGCAGCUAGUGAGGGCUGGGUAACAAGCUUCUGCGGGAAGGGGGGAGGGGGGCUAGAGGAAGAGCCGUCGCCAGGACCAUAGACCCCCGAGCCGCACAGGUUCUGGUUACAGCUACCCCUCGCCAUAAUUUUUGAACUAUAUUUGGAAAAAUACUGGCCAGAAAAAAAAAUGAUAAAAUUUUUCCUCAUGGUGAAUAAACAAGGGCAGACCCGACUUUCUAAGUACUAUGAACAUGUGGAGAUUAAUAAGCGUACGCUUCUGGAAACAGAAGUCAUAAAGAGCUGUCUCUCUCGAUCCAAUGAACAAUGCUCUUUCAUUGAAUAUAAGGAUUUUAAGCUGAUAUAUCGGCAGUAUGCAGCUCUCUUCAUUGUGGUCGGAGUUAAUGACACUGAGAAUGAGAUGGCAAUUUAUGAAUUCAUCCAUAACUUCGUGGAAGUUUUAGACGACUACUUCAGCCGAGUGAGUGAAUUAGAUGUAUCCUUUUUCAGUGCUGUGAACCAAGUUUUCCAUAGUACUUGGCAAAGAACAGGCUAGUCUUGAUCAGGAUCUCUUCCCUUCACCCUUCAGUAAAGAUAAGGUCAAAUUUACAUUGCCCCACAUAAUGAAGAUGCUGAGAAGCUGUUCCCCACAGGAACUGAAAACAAAAAGAGGAAUAAUGGGUCUAAAACAAGGUGCUGGUACUUGCACUGGAAGAUGACCCUACUUCUGUUUGAGGGACGUUUUCAGCAGAUGAAAGAACAACAAUUGGUUCAUGGACAUCAGCUCCUGAAACUAUACUGUGUUCCAUUACAAUUUCUGAUCUCCGUUCCGUUUUGGUCGAACCCAAGCUGAUGUCGCUGCUACUGGCCACGCUACACACAGAACUGCUGCUUCCUUUUCUACUUGAGGAGCCUGCAGCAGCAGAUGUCUUGUCUGGACAGUUGUUUUUCACCAAGCUGCUCCAUGAUUGCGUUGUGCCUGAAACAGUGGAUGAAACAGGUUUGGGUGAUGCCACUGUAUCAGGGUCGUACCCUGGUGCAAGCUUGAGGUCAAAUUUUCCUUCUGCGCCCAUACGGUAAGAGUUUGAGCCACCAGCAUCCCAGGUGACAUCAAUCCAGCCUGGAAAGGGACAGGAGUUUGUAAGACCCAGCAGAAAGCAGAUAGGAGCGUGUCAGACAGUAGCUCCACAAUAUGGGAUCAGCUUUUCAUCAGUGCUGCACUUCUCUGAAUUUCUAGUCAUCUAAGGUCUGCUAACUAAAAUUAAAUCCUUCCUUCUAUUUCUCUUAUUUCUGAACU